rnacentral:rRNA from 4 species
UGGUGGGUAGUUUGACUGGGGCGGUCUCCUCCUAAAGAGUAACGGAGGAGCACGAAGGUUGGCUAAUCCUGGUCGGACAUCAGGAGGUUAGUGCAAUGGCAUAAGCCAGCUUGACUGCGAGCGUGACGGCGCGAGCAGGUGCGAAAGCAGGUCAUAGUGAUCCGGUGGUUCUGAAUGGAAGGGCCAUCGCUCAACGGAUAAAAGGUACUCCGGGGAUAACAGGCUGAUACCGCCCAAGAGUUCAUAUCGACGGCGGUGUUUGGCACCUCGAUGUCGGCUCAUCACAUCCUGGGGCUGAAGUAGGUCCCAAGGGUAUGGCUGUUCGCCAUUUAAAGUGGUACGCGAGCUGGGUUUAGAACGUCGUGAGACAGUUCGGUCCCUAUCUGCCGUGGGCGCUGGAGAACUGAGGGGGGCUGCUCCUAGUACGAGAGGACCGGAGUGGACGCAUCACUGGUGUUCGGGUUGUCAUGCCAAUGGCACUGCCCG